CUAUAUAAAGAGCUGCAUCGGCACACUACAGUGAGUCUCCUCUUUGCGCUGUGACAGUCGACGCGAUCUUCCCACUAUGAUUACUCGUGGCAUCGCUGUGGCACUGAUGGUCCUCGUGGCCCUGUCUGCCCUGGCACUAGCCAUUCCCGCCCCCGAGGCUGAGGCCCACAGGAGAUUCUUUUUCGGUAGUGGCUAUGGUGGAUACGGCGGCUUCGGCGGAUAUGGUGGAUAUGGUGGAUACGGACAUGGAUACGGCUACGGAUACAGGCCCUACGGAUUCUUUGGAUAAGGACGGAGGCUGCGCGUUCAGGCGAUGCGGAUUUCAUCUCAACUCGUUCCCUGGAAUUUGACCGCUGGCAUGGCAUCGCAGAUCGCUACCUCUGCUUCAGCUUUGCCUGAAUGGAAACAUACCCUUGAAAUGAAUUGAAACUCUGCCUUUGUUUACUAUUUUCUUUCGACUUUGUCUGUUCAAUAAACGUUGUUCAAUAAAUUGGUCUUAUGUCUUGAA